rnacentral:rRNA from 1 species
AUCUUGAGAGCGGCGUACGGGUGCGGAACACGUGUGCAACCUGCCUUUAUCAGGGAGAUAGCCUUUCGAAAGGAAGAUUAAUACCCCAUAAUAUAUUAAGUGGCAUCACUUGAUAUUGAAAACUACGGUGGAUAGAGAUGGGCACGCGCAAGAUUAGAUAGUUGGUAGGGUAACGGCCUACCAAGUCUACGAUCUUUAGGGGGCCUGAGAGGGUGAUCCCCCACACUGGUACUGAGACACGGACCAGACUCCUACGGGAGGCAGCAGUGAGGAAUAUUGGACAAUGGGUGAAAGCCUGAUCCAGCCAUCCCGCGUGAAGGACGACGGCCCUAUGGGUUGUAAACUUCUUUUGUAUAGGGAUAAACCUAGAUACGUGUAUCUAGCUGAAGGUACUAUACGAAUAAGCACCGGCUAACUCCGUGCCAGCAGCCGCGGUAAUACGGAGGGUGCAAGCGUUAUCCGGAUUUAUUGGGUUUAAAGGGUCCGUAGGCGGAUCUGUAAGUCAGUGGUGAAAUCUCACAGCUUAACUGUGAAACUGCCAUUGAUACUGCAGGUCUUGAGUGUUGUUGAAGUAGCUGGAAUAAGUAGUGUAGCGGUGAAAUGCAUAGAUAUUACUUAGAACACCAAUUGCGAAGGCAGGUUACUAAGCAACAACUGACGCUGAUGGACGAAAGCGUGGGGAGCGAACAGGAUUAGAUACCCUGGUAGUCCACGCCGUAAACGAUGCUAACUCGUUUUUGGAUUUUCGGAUUCAGAGACUAAGCGAAAGUGAUAAGUUAGCCACCUGGGGAGUACGUUCGCAAGAAUGAAACUCAAAGGAAUUGACGGGGGCCCGCACAAGCGGUGGAUUAUGUGGUUUAAUUCGAUGAUACGCGAGGAACCUUACCAAGGCUUAAAUGGGAAAUGACAGGUUUAGAAAUAGACUUUUCUUCGGACAUUUUUCAAGGUGCUGCAUGGUUGUCGUCAGCUCGUGCCGUGAGGUGUUAGGUUAAGUCCUGCAACGAGCGCAACCCCUGUCACUAGUUGCCAUCAUUAAGUUGGGGACUCUAGUGAGACUGCCUACGCAAGUAGAGAGGAAGGUGGGGAUGACGUCAAAUCAUCACGGCCCUUACGCCUUGGGCCACACACGUAAUACAAUGGCCAGUACAGAGGGCAGCUACACAGCGAUGUGAUGCAAAUCUCGAAAGCUGGUCUCAGUUCGGAUUGGAGUCUGCAACUCGACUCUAUGAAGCUGGAAUCGCUAGUAAUCGCGCAUCAGCCAUGGCGC